CCCUUAGAUGUUCUGGGCUGCACGCGCGCUACACUGAUGCGCUCAACGAGUUUUAACCUUGCCUGGAAAGGUUGGGUAAUCUUUUUAAAACGCAUCGUGAUGGGGAUAGAUUAUUGCAAUUAUUAAUCUUCAACGAGGAAUUCCUAGUAAGCGCGAGUCAUCAGCUCGUGCUGAAUACGUCCCUGCCCUUUGUACACACCGCCCGUCGCUCCUACCGAUUGAGUGGUCCGGUGAGGCUUUGGGAUCUGAGCGGAAAGAGCGUUUCGCUGUUUCUGCUCGGAAAACUCAGUCGAACCUUAUCAUUUAGAGGAAGGAGAAGUCGUAACA
rnacentral:rRNA from 1 species